UACGUAGGUGGCAAGCGUUUGUCCGGAAUUAUUGGGCGUAAAGCGCGCGCAGGUGGUUCCUUAAGUCUGAUGUGAAAGCCCACGGCUCAACCGUGGAGGGUCAUUGGAAACUGGGGAACUUGAGUGCAGAAGAGGAAAGUGGAAUUCCAAGUGUAGCGGUGAAAUGCGUAGAGAUUUGGAGGAACACCAGUGGCGAAGGCGACUUUCUGGUCUGUAACUGACACUGAGGCGCGAAAGCGUGGGGGAGCAAACAGG
rnacentral:rRNA from 1 species